GCAAGCUGGAUACACCCUGAGGCUCCCUCUCACCAAAGAGGGACUGAGGGUGACGACUGUGUGCCGUCCUUCGGUUGCAGGUGAAACUGGGCUGCGAGGGGCUGCUGCGAAACAGCAAGGAGAAACCGGUCUUUGAUGAUAUUUGAAAAGGAAUCUAAAAUUGACCCAAAAAGUCAAUUUCUCAUGUCUCCAAUUAGACUCUUCAUUCGUAUACUUCAAAAUGGAAUUGUCCGCUUUGUUGCAAUGACGUACAGCUCCACAUCCAAAGCCUCAUGAUUUUUAAGUGCAAUUAAUACAUUCCUGGCAUUUGAUACUCUCACUUCUAAUAUGUUCAAGAUAAUUUAACUAUGUCCCCACUCCUGAUCUCUGCUUCUGCUGAAGACAGUCAUUUAGUCUCCAAGGAUGAUUCUCAGGCUGACCUUUGUUCCCAUUUCUCUCCAAUUUUUCAUGUUUUAAGACAGAAGAAAAACUCAUUAGCUAUUUUCAUAAUGCAAUAGGAUUACAACAGGAUUACGAUGCAAAUGUUUUAUUAGCCAUAAGUAGUCCUUCUAGUCCACACUGUGCUCUUCACUACUGUUUUAUUCUCAUCCUGUUUCUCUUGUUAAAACGCGUAUUUUCAUGGAGUACUUCAGCUUUUCAAUAAUCUUGAUUAUAUUGAUUUCCUCUCCUUCUUUGCCUCUAUUCUUAAAUUGCCCGACAAUCAUGCCCCCAGAGACUAAACAGGAGUGAUGAACACCUUAUUGCCACGGCCAAUUUGCCAGUGUUGUUUAGAGCUACACACCUCUCUCUUACAAUGCAGUCACUGGCAUGUGCUCAAAGGAAAACAGCCUACACGCUUCUAAUGUGCUGUAGGUUAGCCAGGCUGAAAGGAGAAGUGUAAUAUCCUAAGAGUUUAUUUGUCACUCCAAACCUUCUAUUAGUUGAUUUGCUUAUUGUGCUGAUAGGGGCUGACCCACUAUCAAGUGCCGCCAACUGCCUUAGACACUUAAACAACUACUCAUUUAUUGACUGCAAGUACUAAAUUUAAUUUUGUUUUGGAUUAAUAAGAACUUGUUCACAGCUGAACUAGAGCAACCUGAGAGUUCAGCAAGUUCCUGUGUUGAUCCCAGUCGCAUAAUGUUCUUAUUUAACCAAUGCAUAUCUGGCAAGCCUUGGCUUGCUGGCACCUGCUGACCAGCCUCUUCAGGAACUGUACUAAGACACAUGGUCACACUUCACCUGCUUGCGAUCCAACUUGAUCCAGAUAAUGCCAUGAAAUUCACAUCUCUGACUGUGCCACGCAGCCUACUUUUCUGCCCCCUCUCAAGCUCAAUACAAAGGUUAAAUUUCUAAGCGUAAAAUAGCUCCCUGAUA